UUAGAGUUUGAUCCUGGCUCAGGACGAACGCUGGCGGCGUGCUUAACACAUGCAAGUCGACGAGGAUCAUUUAGAUGAGAGCUUCGGCAGGAUUCCGGAUGAUUCGAGUGGCGGACGGGUAGUAACGCGUGAACAAUCUGUCCCAGACAGGGGGAUAACACUUGGAAACAGGUGCUAAUACGCAUAAGACCACGGGAGGACAUCCUUCAGAGGUAAAAGGAGCGAUCCGGUUUGGGGUGAUUCGCGUCCGAUUAGAUAGUUGGUGAGGUAACGGCCCACCAAGUCGACGAUCGGUAGCCGCCUGAGAGGGUGAUCGGCCACAUUGGAACUGAGAGACGGUCCAAACUCCUACGGGAGGCACAGUGGGGAAUAUUGGGCAAUGGGCGAAAGCCUGACCCAGCAACGCCGCGUGAGUGAAGAGGCUUUCGGGUUGUAAAGCUCUGUUAUAGAGGACGAAGGAAGUGACGGUACUCUAUAAGGAGCCCCGGCUAACUACGUGCCAGCAGCCGCGGUAAUACGUAGGGGGCGAGCGUUGUCCGGAUGACUGGGCGUAAAGGACGUGUAGGCGGCCGAUUAAGUCUGGAGUGAAAGUCCUGCUUUAAGGUGGGAAUUGCUUUGGAGACUGGUUGGCUUGAGUGCGGAAGAGGUAAGUGGAAUUCCAGUGUAGCGGUGAAAUGCGUAGAGAUUGGGAGGAACACCAGUGGCGAAGGCGACUUACUGGCCGUAACUGACGCUGAGGCGCGAAAGCGUGGGGAGCGAACAGGAUUAGAUACCCUGGUAUCCACGCGGUAAACGAUGAAUGCUAGGUGUUGCGGGUAUCGACCCCUGCAGUGCCGGAGUACACAAUAAGCAUUCCGCCUGGGGA
rnacentral:rRNA from 1 species